rnacentral:rRNA from 1 species
UACGAAGGGGGCUAGCGUUGUUCGGAAUCACUGGGCGUAAAGCGCGCGUAGGCGGAUCUUUAAGUCAGAGGUGAAAGCCUGGAGCUCAACUCCAGAACUGCCUUUGAUACUGGGGAUCUCGAGUCCGGGAGAGGUGAGUUGAACUGCGAGUGUAGAGGUGAAAUUCGUAGAUAUUCGCAAGAACACCAGUGGCGAAGGCGGCUCACUGGCCCGGAACUGACGCUGAGGUGCGAAAGCGUGGGGAGCAAACAGG